GGGGCUCUGAUUUAAGGACACGUGGUCGCGCGGGUCGCUGAGCGGGGUGAUUGGGAGCAACAUAGGUUGCAUCCAGGAGACUGAACUGCUGGAGAUCAGAGACUAGUCUCUGUGUUUCCCACGCCCAGCAUCUAGCAUACAAUGCUCACUCAAAUGCACGCUGACGUAGGGAAUGGAGUAGAUGGAAGAGGGCCUGUCACCUCGAUGACCUGGAAGAACUAGAUUCCAGCGACAGAGUUAACACCUGCAGGGGAAACUGGAACACCUGGGAAGAGCCCUUUGCUGUCAGGUUAGAGGAAUUAGAAGGGUUCCUGAUUCCCUGCUCUAGCAAGACAGCCAGUGACCACCAUGACAAUAUCACUUCGGAGUGUCCACUAGGUCUCAGGAACAAGGGAAAGGAACGCACCAAAGAUUCAAUUCAUGAAUAAAUCUGUAGGCUCCACCUUCAACAUUCAUCUAGAAACGGACUUUUAUCAUCACCUCCACCUCACCUUGGUCCAAGCCAUUGUCCCACUAAUUUAUUACUAUAACCAGUGAUAUCAUAAUGGAAGAUACUGAAUUUAUCAGGGAACAUUGAAUUACUAUUUCUUAAGAAUUUUGGGACUUCCCUGGUGGCGCAGUGGUUAAGAAUCCCCCGCCAGUGCAGGGGACACAGGUUCCAGCCCUGGUCCAGGAAGAUCCCACAUGCCGUGGAGCAACUAAGCCUGUGUGCAACAACUACUGAGCCUGCGCUCUAGAGCCUGCAAGCUACAACUACUGAGCCCGUGUGCCACAAGUACUGAAGCCCUUGCACCUAGAGCCUGUGCUCGGCAACAAGAGAAGCCACCACAAUGAGAAGCCCGCGCACCGCAAUAAAGAGUAGCCCUCACUCGCUGCAGCUAGAGAAAGCCCGUGCGCAGGAACGAAGACCCAACGCAGCCAAAAAUAAAUAAAUUUAUUUUUUUAAAAAGAAUUUUGAUUGUCUGUGUUCACUCUGAGUGUAAAACGUUAGCAUCAGCAAAGGCAUUAACGCAUCUCCAGGCUUUUCUACCAUAUUUGAUUUCUGAAAUAUUUAUACUGAUAACGGUUUACCUAGACAUAUUUAACCUAGGCUAGGCUGUUGUGCACGUUCUACUUUGAAAAAUAUUCCUGUGCAACUCUUACUAUUGUAACACAUCAAACAAACUUAACCGAAUUAUUUCUAGCAUCUCU